CACGUAGGGGGCAAGCGUUGUCCGGAUUUAUUGGGCGUAAAGAGCUCGUAGGCGGCUUAGUAAGUCGGGUGUGAAACCUCCAGGCUCAACCUGGAGACGCCACCCGAUACUGCUGUGGCUAGAGUCCGGUAGGGGAGCGUGGAAUUCCUGGUGUAGCGGUGAAAUGCGCAGAUAUCGGGAAGAACACCCGUGGCGAAGGCGGUUCUCUGGGACGGUACUGACGCUGAGACGCGAAAGCGUGGGGAGCGAACAGG
rnacentral:rRNA from 1 species